GUUAAACAAAUGGCUUCUAUUUAUUUAUUGAUAGUUUAGAAAUGGUGAUUGAUUCUACGUAUUUGUAAUGUUCUGGAAAGUCUCAGUUUUGUGUGGGGUGGAGAAAUAUAUUGGGGAUUUGGAGGGAGUUGUGUUCCACAACGAGGUGUCGAUGGUUGGUGUGCAAUAUGCAGGUGGUGGUGGGAAGAGUUCUCUAGUGUUUCGUCUAUGAAAUCAUCUUCAAAUUAAAGAAAAUGUGUGGAAAACUUAUUAUUUGAAGGUCAAUUAUACAAAAAAUUUAGAGCUACCAGAGAUAAAUCCACAAUCCCCACAGCCCCCACUAGAGAACGCUCUCAACUACCAUUGUUGGGCCCAGAGGAUGCUCUUUUGCCUCUCUGCUUCUGGUCUUUUGGACAGACAUUUUAAGAGCUACAGAUGCAAAUAUAGUAAAGGAGGUGCAAGCAGAAUGUGAUGAUCUGCCACUUGCUCUGAAGGUGAUUGGGAGAUCUUCGCAUGGAAGCCCUAGUGGAUUGGAAUGGAGCAAAAACCAAGAUUUGUAAAGGAGAAUAACAUCAAAUUUAUCACAGAUUGAUAAUCUUCGCUAUGUAGAUUGUUGCAGGCCAGUAUUGACUCCUUAGGUGAUGCAGAUAAUGAAUGUUUCUUAGACUUGGUGUUAUUUCUAGAGGACAAGAAAAUUUGUGGUGAUGCACUAUUGGAUAUUUGUGUUCAUGUUCAAAACCUACAAAGGUGUGACGCUUUUGGUAUCUUAUCUGAACUUGCAAGUCGAAACCUGUCAAAUUUAAGUAGCAACCCAAGGUAAUUUGUCUUUCCUUUAAUAUUCGAUCUUUUGUAAUCAUAUUUUUCAACACAAAGCUGACAUGCUUGCAAUAAACAAGGGAAGUACAACAAUCCUAUAUAGAAAUUCCUUGGAGCUAUACUUCUCUCAACAUGAUGCAAUGCCAAAUUUGACCUUGUAAGGUGAGUUGCAUAAUGAUCGUGCAAUCCAUUUGACACUCCAAUUCUCUCCAUUUCCAUUGAUCCUUUGGAGGAAAUUACUGGCAUGAUAUGAAUUUCCCUGAGACAGAGGCUCUGUUAAUCUUUUGUGGGACGAUACUUUCUUGAAUCUUCCCCCAUAUUUGAAAUCCUAGCUUUUUUAUGGCAUUAAAUUGUAGGUGAAAGGUCUAGAUGUCUUAUCUUUACUCGCCCAACCCUAAGAGUGUCCACUUGGAGAUAUUGAUUUCACCCUUUGUUGAAAAAAAGAAUUAUGAAGAAUACAGAACUUGGAGAAAAUAUCUUUGAGCUCAUGUGAAGGAUUUGGAAAGAUAUCCACAUUCAGCACAAGCAAUCUUAUAUCAUUUUAACCUGGAUCGAAGUAGCAAUUUUGAAGAGUUAGCCCUUGCUAUCUCGGAUAUGUCCUCUCCGUCAUGGUCUAUUACCAAUGGCUCGGUACAAAAUGCCAUCAUGAAAGCACUGACACUAUGUGCACAAUAUGUUGGCAGUUUACAGUAGAGAUGUGCUUCCACAAUUUUAACUCUAAGAUCUAGAGUAGAAACUUUCUUGGCGAGCAACCACUUUUUCAAUUUUCUCAUCACAUACAACAAGCUUGAGGGAACUUAGGUCACAAAUAGUUGUAGGUAACCUCUUCAAACGAGAACAUUCUCUCGCAUCAAACUCCCACAAUUUCUUGAGUUGUCCUAUUUCCUCUGG